rnacentral:rRNA from 1 species
GAUAAACGCCGGCGGUGUACAUAAGACAUGCAAGUCGAACGGGAGAAGACAGGAAGAUUUAUCUACUUGUUGGACACCGUGGCGGACGGGUGAGUAACACGUAAGCAACCUGCCUAUAAGAGGGGAAUAACAGUGAGAAAUUACUGAUAAUACCGCAUAAGCUGAAGGUAUCGCAUGAUACAUUCAGAAAAGAUUUAUCGCUUAUAGAUGGGCUUGCGUCUGAUUAGCUAGUUGGUGAGAUAACAGCUCACCAAGGCGACGAUCAGUAGCCGGAUUGAGAGGUUGAACGGCCACAUUGGGACUGAGACACGGCCCAGACUCCUACGGGAGGCAGCAGUCGGGAAUAUUGCACAAUGGAGGAAACUCUGAUGCAGUGACACCGCGUAUAGGAAGAAGGUCUUAGGACUG